rnacentral:rRNA from 1 species
AUGAUCUACGGAGCUGAGGCGGUUCUCCCUAGCGACAUCCGUCAUGACUCGCCUCGUGUGGCGGCUUAUGUUGAAGCAGAUAAUGAACAGGCACGUCAGGAUGCUCUUGACCUGUUAGAUGAACAGCGGGACUUGGCAGCAACUCAUUCAGCGAUUUACCAACAGGAUUUGCGCCGCUAUCACAGCCGCCGAGUUAAGUCCAGAGCCUUUCAGGAAGGUGAUUUGGUGCUCCGGCUCAUCCAGGAUCAAACUGAUGCACACAAGUUAUCCCCACCUUGGGAAGGGCCCGUUGUGGUCAGCAAUAACUUGAACAACGGGUCAUAUUACCUUAUCGAUGUUUGA